ACGGGGGGGGCAAGCGUUGUUCGGAAUUACUGGGCGUAAAGGGCCAGUAGGCGGCCAACUAAGUCGGAUGUGAAAUCCCCAGGCUUAACCUGGGAACUGCAUCCGAUACUGGAUGGCUUGAAUUCGGGAGAGGGAUGCAGAAUUCCAGGUGUAGCGGUGAAAUGCGUAGAUAUCGGGAGGAACACCAGUGGCGAAGGCGACUUCCUGGCCUGUUCUUGACGCUGAGGCGCGAAAGCUGGGGGAGCAAACGGGA
rnacentral:rRNA from 1 species